rnacentral:rRNA from 1 species
UACGACUACAUAUCAGGCAUAUCAAUAAGCGGAGGAAAAGAAACUAACAAGGAUUCCCCUAGUAACGGCGAGUGAAGCGGGAAGAGCUCAAAUUUGAAAUCUUAAAGGGUUUCCCUUUACGAAUUGUAGUUUAAAGAAGUGUUUUCUGUUGGAGUUUCGGUAAAAGUUCUUUGGAAUAGGACAUCAUAGAGGGUGAGAAUCCCGUAUUUGACUAUUCUUUCUAGCUUUGUGAUACACUUUCAAAGAGUCGGAUUGUUUGGGAAUGCAGUCCAAAAUGGGUGGUAAAUUUCAUCUAAAGCUAAAUAUUGGCGAGAGACCGAUAGCGAACAAGUACCGUGAGGGAAAGAUGAAAAGAACUUUGAAAAGAGAGUUAAACAGUACGUGAAAUUGUCAAAAGGGAAGCGUUUGACACCAGUGUUGUUUCUACGAAAAUCAAUUUAUGAUGGCUUGAUGCUAAGCUUUAAGACUUUAUCCGCUUGUUGUUUAGUUUUCUUGUCUUUGUGAAUGCACUUUUCGUGGAACAAGUCAACAUCAAUUUCUUUUGCUGUAAAAGGGUAAGAGGAAGGUGGCUUCGGCUUCGGUUGAAGUGUUUAUAGCCUUUUAUCUCUGCAGUCGGAGAGAUUGAGGUCUGCAGCGUAGACUCUUCGGGGUUAGAUACGUCGGUGCUAAGCUAUAGCUUUUCAUAGACAACUUGUUGACUAUGUUUAGUCAUGUGGCUUACCCGCUAGCGCUAUUUUACCUACGCUUAGGAUGUUGACUGAUAUGUAGUCGUA